rnacentral:rRNA from 1 species
GACGAACGCUGGCGGCGUGCUUAACACAUGCAAGUCGAACGGUAAGGCCCUUCGGGGUACACGAGUGGCGAACGGGUGAGUAACACGUGGUGAUCUGCCCUGCACUUCGGGAUAAGCUUGGGAAACUGGGUCUAAUACCGGAUAGGACCACGGUCUGCAUGGAUUGUGGUGGAAAGCUUUUUGCGGUGUGGGAUGGGCCCGCGGCCUAUCAGCUUGUUGGUGGGGUGAAUGGCCUACCAAGGCGACGACGGGUAGCCGGCCUGAGAGGGUGUCCGGCCACACUGGGACUGAGAUACGGCCCAGACUCCUACGGGAGGCAGCAGUGGGCAUAUUGCACAAUGGGCGCAAGCCUGAUGCAGCGACGCCGCUGGGGGAUGA